UGGGGCUGGGGCCGGGGCCGGGGCUGCGGCUGGGGCUAGGGGGCUGCGGCUGGGGCUGAAGAGCCGCCCUCUCUUGCUGCUGCUGGAGACCUGAUGACUGCACCGCUCGGCUUGGUUCCUUUCUCCCCGGUGCCACACAAAACCCCCUCUCACCCCGGCUGUUAACUGCUAAGGAAUUGCUUCGCAGCCACCACCCUUUCACUUUCUGAAGGGAGUUCAGGGAGUCGGCCAGGCUUUGUGCUUUCCGGAGCAAGGGUUUAGGGUUUUCUUUAUUCCGGGAACACCCCUGCGCUGACCAUCAGCCUGCCUUCUUGAGGUGUCACGCUGGCACUCUUGGUGUGUGUGUGUGAUUGGCCUGUGACAGCUGCCUCGGCAGUGUCUUGAGUGUGCCACAAGUGCCAGCUGUGAACUUGGCUGUAGGGGCGUUCUUUUUGUUUUUUGUUUUUUGUUUUUGUUUUUGCCGUUCUUUGUAUAUUCGUGCUUGAGGUCUUUGUCAUGGCAGGCUCUUUUGUAAUGUGUGGAAUGGAACUUCGGGGCAUCGAAAGGUUCCAUAGACUAAAACACCUACAGAAUUGCUGUUUUAGAUAAUGUAUUUGUUAUUAUGUAUUUGGUAAGUUUGAUUUUGUGUGGGUAUGCGGGUAUGGCAAGUCAUGUAUAAUCCAGACUUAUAUGUAGGCAUCUUCCAGUGGGCUUACUAAAUAAUUUGACACUGUUAUGAAUGGAAUAGAAUGAUUUCUUUGUAAAAUUACCUGUUUGAGCUUACCUUUGGACCUCCUUGCUCCCAAAAAUGAAGUUACCUUUAAGAUAUAGUGCCUUUUUUUAAGACCUUAUUGUUACUGGGAAUAAUUAAGUUAUAUUUUAAGCUUAUUGUACUUGUUAGUUUGGAACUGUGAUAUGGAAGUGUUGUAAGCUAAAUAAACCCCUCUCCUCUCCAAAUUGCUUUGGUCAUGAUGUUUCAUCAUAGCAAUAGUAACCCUAACGAAGGCACCUACCUUUCUUUUUUCUUCUCUCACAUCAUUAACAAAGGAAGCAGGUCAGUAAUGAGUGAAGGGCCCUACUGGAGAGAGACGUUGGUACAUGCUCAGCAUUAGUUUGUUAAAGGAGUGUGUGCAAUAGCUAAUCUUGUAUUUCUAGAAUAUAGUUAGUUGGUUUCCCAUAAGCAUCCUCUGUGUAAGGUCAAGAUUUGAAUGUGUCUCUGUGGCAUUCUAUAAAUGGAGGGAAAGCCCAGCUUAGCUUCCCAUUGUGCACCCCAAGGGACUGACCGGGCUCAGAGCAUUGAAGGAAUUGGAGGUGUAGUGUGCAGUCUUCCUCUCUUGUUCUCCCACCCUUUCUUUCUUUAGCAGAAUCUUAGACUAUAGUCCAGGUGAGCCUAGAGAUCAAUGUGUAGUCCAGGCUGGCUGGCUUCAGACUCUAGGGCAAUUCUGUGUUAACCUUCAGAGCGAUGGAAUUCUGUGUGUGAGCUACUGUGUCCAGAUAAGGUAGAUGUCUUAUUGACUACUUCAUAAUUUCUACUCCCUUCCCUAAAUAUAUUCUGUGCUAAAUAUGUGUGAGGGACUCCUGCUGAGCUUUGUCUGCCUUCACUAGACCUGUCUUAGGGUUAAGUUGCUGCCAAUAGAUACUGGAUUUAUCUUUAGAAGAGAUUGUGAAUGUGGUUUCUACACAUGUCUCUUUGUCUUUCAAAAUGCUGUCUUUGUGGGGUUGGGGAGAUAGGUGGUCUAUUCACUGUGUGAACUGCUUGCUGUACAGGCAUGUACACCGGGGUUCAUAGUUGUAGCGCCCACACAAAGCUGGACGGCUGGACAUGGUGGCAUGCAUCUGUAAUGCAGGGCUUGGGAGAAAGGGACAGACAGACCCGUGGGACGUCCUGUCCAGUCCUCUAGCCAAAACACCAAGCUUGAGUGUCAUCUGGACACCCUGUCUCAAAACAUACUAUACAAGGUGGAUGGUGACAAGGGACAGCAAAUGUGUCCCUGCACAUAAUUCAUAGCUCUGCCUUUGGGGAUGCAGUCUCUCUCCUAAAAUUACUUUAUUUAAAAUAUUACUUUGUCAUAGAAUUGCACCUACUCUCCCCAUGAGGGUUAUACCCAUGUGUCUUAUAAGUAGUUCUGGUAAUGUAACAAACAGACACUGAGAUAGCCUAUGAAGACAACAUGAAGAAAAUAGUUUUCUCAGUUACCUGAAGGAAUGUUCUGCAGCCAUUACGCUUGUAGAGCCUCAAAUGAACAUGGGUCAUAAAGUGCACCUUGUGUUUUCAAAAGCACUACAUGUGUCUUUCAUCUGUAUAAACAUGCUGCCUCUAAUUAGGAGUGAAAAAAAAAACCGUAUUGUGAAUAUAAUCAGUGACUGGGGGGUGUAGCUCUGUGGUGCAGUGCAGAGCCCUGGAUCCAGCUGACUUCAUAAAGUCCCGUUUUAUGGCAGGAAUUGAAAGUACAGAUGUGAUGAUUGCCUCUGCUCUGUGGGUCUAAAGGCAGACACAGGGUAGUGAGUCAAGUGCGGGCGCUCUGCAGUAGGGCCUGUGAUAAUUUAUCUUCCCUAGUUUGGUAAAAUGUUUUAGAUACUGUUUACUUCCUGGAACAUUAUACGACGAUGCUCUAUUAUUAUGUUAAUGCAGCUUCUAAUUAUCUAUCAGAUAGUAAUUAUUCAAUACAAUGUCUGCUUAUUGAGUGAACAGAAUGAGAAAUGAGUCCUCCCUGGGUGCUUCUUUGUAAGUAUGGCUACUACAUAGUAAUAAAGAAUUCUUAGUCUAAAGUUGUUCAUUGCUGCAUAAGAAAAGAACAUAUAAAAUCAUUUUCCAAAACCCAUUUAGAAGCUUGGUUUUCCACAUUUCCUAUUUACUGGGCUUAGUUGUUGUCUUUGAUAAUUUGUUUUCAUAAAUCACAAUUCUUAAAUCUUUUUCUUGGUAACUAACUGAUUGGUAGGUUGUUUCAUUGAAAAUUUCCAUUUAUCUAGAACACAUAAACACUCACUUUAAAAAUAGCUUGUCAUGUAUACAUUAUAGUAUAUUUUACGAAAUGUUUUAUACCAAUCUAAAUCCAGUAAAGGAGAAUAAAUUAUGGUGUAUAUGUAGCACAAGAUCAUUCUACAAAGACUUUAAGCUGGGUAAAUCACCACAAAUAGUGCUGGGUGAAAGGCUGUUGGGCUGACCAGCUCAGUCCCUGCCCAGUCCCAGAUCCAGGGCUCUGAGCUGGCCCACCCAGUGUCUCUCCCAUCUGUGAGCUGCUUCACAUGUAAAAGGGGCGGAUCCACAGCUCAGGACCUCCAGUGUCAUAGGACAAUAGCCUCUCCUAGUGGACUCCAUGUGAGGAGAACCUUAUCGCUACGGUAUGGUAAGGUGUGUGCUGUCCCAUAGAGCACUGUGGCUUAACUAGGUCCCAGGUGCCCUGUGGUCCUGGGCUGGUUCUGCUUUACUCAGCAUUGCUCGUGUCAUAUAGCUGGCUUCGGUGUUAGAAGGCAUUUGGGCGAUGUCCUUUUGUUUGUUUGUUUGUUUGUUUGUUUUUUGUUUUUUUAAGGCAAAGUGUCAUGUAGCCCAGGCUGGCCUUGAACUCCUGCUCCUCCAGCCUGUCUUCAGCACUGCAGACGGGUGCCCCAGACACUCCAAGCCCAGUGGAUCUCUCUUGCACUCAUUGCUGGGGACAGAUCAUCUGGCCUUACCCCUUCCUUUCCUUUGCUCCUACUUUGCUGUUUUAGGUCUGCAGUGACUAAAGAACCCAGAAACUGGGGUUCAUAGACGAGUUUGUGAAAAUUCCAAGGAGAAGGGAGCCAAGCAGAGCAGACUUCUCUGCCAGCUUAGUGUCUUCGUGGUUGUCUUUGCAUUUGCUGUAGGGUCCUCAGUAUUAGUGUUGUAAAAAUCCUGUUUCCUGAGGAGAGACGAUAUUACCAGAUUAUUAAGUAUUUUCAGACCCAGGCAAACCCUGUUUACUAUGAAAAGAUCAGGAAUGGCACCACAGAGGCUGUCUGUCCUGUGUUGAACCAAACAUUUCAGCUCCAUUUUAAAAGACUUACUUUUUCCAAGUAAAAUUACUUGGAAAUUUACUGUUUUAUGAAGAGUAUUAUAAUACAACUAUAUCUUCAAAUCAUAUUAGGAAUGUUUUUAAAAGCUUGGUACGUACAGUACAAUUUUUAAAAUGGAAGUUUUGUGCCAGGGAGGCAGUGCUUUAUAUAAUAGACAUUGUUUAGUGAAUUAAUUAAAGUUCUUGGCUUCUUCAUUUUUUGUCAGCAGUUAUGAUUCUUAUAUGUUCACCAAGCAUUCACGGUUUGAGUAGUACCAGGUAUAUGCAAAGAGAAAAAGGCUUUCUUUUCUUUGAGAUGUGGACAGCCAGGGUUUUCACCUUCUUUCUGUACAGUUGCUCCUUCUGUUUUCAUGCGCACUUCUUUCCUGCCUUCCUGAUUCUUGAUAGGCGGUCUUAGGUGUGACAGAAGUAUCUAGUCUAGCGUUCUCAGCAGUGCAGGAGUUAAUGCCUUCAUUCACAGCAUGGCAGAGCAGGAAUCGAAAAGUCAUUCAUUAUCUGCAGGUUUCACUGAAGUGAGAGAAAAAUGCUUCUUCAAAGGCAAGGUCUCUGGAGUAAACCCCCAGUGGCAAAACACAGGGCAAAGAGACCCAAGGGAAAGCUUCACCUGUUUGAACGGUCUUUGUCCCACUCCUUUGUCACAGUCCUCCUCUGGCUGUCCUGCUUCUUUUCUACACGCUGUUACUCAGCAAUGGCAGUACUCUCCAUCAAGCUGAAGGGGUCAGGUGACAAACAUGUUCCAGGUAUCCUGUGACAAGAAUGGAUCCCAGAUCUUUUUUUCAUUUUUAAUUAUUUAUUUAUUUAUUUAUUUAUUUAUUUAUUUAUUUUUGAGACAGGGUUUCUCUGUGUAACCCUGGCUGUCCUGGAACUCACUCUGUAGACCAGGCUGGCCUCGAACUCAGAAAUCUGCCUGCCUCUGCCUCCCAACUGCUGGGAUUAAAGGCGUGCACCACCACUGCCCGGCUCAAAAAUCUUUGAAAACAAUGUCCUAUUUCAAGAUUGUGUGUGUGUGAGUGUCUUCCCUGCAUGCAUAUGUGUGCACUAUGUGCAUGCCUAGUGCCCUUGCAGUUUAGAAAAGGUCCCCUAGAACUAGAGUUAUAGGUGGUUGUGAGCCUCCAUGUGGGUGCUGGGAACCAAAUCAAAGUUUCUGCAAAAACAAGUGCUCCUGACUGCUGAGCUGUCAGUCCCGCUCCAGAUGUCUUCACUGUAUAAAGAAAAACGGUUCUAGCAAGAGCAAAGCUACACAGUGCUCGAGAAUUGUGCUUUAGUGAAACUGAAGUUAGCUAGCCUUGUCUGACAUGGCAGUGAGAAAAAAGUAACCUGCUGAACAUUGAUGAGGAUAGCAUAUUUAUUUUGCAGCGAUAUUCUUCUAAAAUUAAAAUUUGGAAUUCUUUUCAAUUGAUUAGUAUCCUCUGAAACAUCCCCACCCCCACCCCUAAGAUGGGAUUUCUCUGUGUAGCCCUGGCUGUAGUAGAACUCUCUCUGUAGACCAGGCUGGCCUUGAACUUAGAGAUCUGCCUGCCUCUGCCUCCCCAGUUCUGGGAUUAAAAGUGUGCUACCACUGCUCUGCUAAAACUUUAACCUUUUAACUUGCAAAACUACUGAAAAUUUGAAAGUUUGUUUGUUAUAAAGGUUGCUUCUCUCUCUGUCUGUCUCAUUUUAUCUGUGUGUAUGUGUGUGUGUGUGUGUGUGUGUGUGUGUGUGUGUAUGCACUGUCUCUGUCUCUCUCUCUGUCUCUCUCUCUUUCUCUGUGUGCGCAUGUGCAGGUCUCUGAGAGGGAGAGAAUAUAUAUAAUUCUGUACUCUGGCCUAGUAGAAAAGACUCUAGGACUUUGGAGGCAUUUAUUCUCUCAUUUGUUUUAAACACAACUACAACUAUGGACUUUUACUUAGCAAGCAUUUACUUAAAUUCUUGCGAACAGUGCCCUGUUGGCUACAAGAAGAAUCCUGUUACAGCACCUGGAUCACAAGCCUAUGCCUUGAAGGUAUUAGUAAAAUACUGAUAGAAAUACUGCACAUGAAAAGCUAGUAUUGGAUUAUUAUUUUUUAAAUUCCGGUAAGAUUCACCUAAGCACAAACCAUUCUGAAACAAACUUUUCGGUGGCAUAGCUUUACAUUAUACCAUUACCACCAUGCCUAUUUUUACCAAACCAGAAUAAAACCUUGUUCUGUAGAUAUUUUCAUUCCCUUGUCUGUCUAGCUGGAAGCAACUGAAUACUAUUCCAGUUGAUUUGUUUAUACUUCAUCCAUUGGUCUGAGUUUGGUUGGUUUCACCUUUAGUCUGUGGUGGUCCGUGCUGCUCUAACAGUUGUGUCCCUGUACUGGAGUACCUGUUCAUUUCUCUGCUGUGUUUCCUGGGAGUGAGAAUCUGGUCGUGUGCAGAUUGCGUUGAUGCUUUGGCAGGCAUCUCAGGUCAUUUUGGACAGUAGCUGUACUGUUGUCCGUUCCUGUUUACAGUGUCUAAGUGUCUUCUUGUUGCACUAGCACCGGUGUUUUCUUUCUUAAGUUAUUAGAAGCAGCCUGAGUAGAUGCAGAGUGGGAUUUAGUUCAGGAUUUCCCAGUUACUAAUGAUGAAGAAUAUCUUUUCAUGUACUUUUUUUUGACCACUAGUGGAUCUUUAGAAAAAUAUUUAAAGUCUUGGUCUACAUUUAACAGUACUUUUACCACCUUAUUUUAUAUAUUAUAUAAUUCUGUGUACACAUGCACACACGAACGCAUGCAUGCAUGCACAGUAUGUAUGAUAUUUAUGUGCCAGGAAUGGACAGACAGAAACACAUCCCAUUGGAGUUACCUUCCUGUGCUUACACAAUGUAAACUUUUGCUAGCCACAAAUAAUGUUUUUCGUGAGUAGAUUGGAGCAUGGCUUACCCUUGCUUUCUUUGUGGGCCAGAGACUGUUUGUGCCAGCUGUUUCACAAGUGUGUGCAGUUUGCUGAAGCGGGCACCUGUUGGCCUUUGGCCUAGUCAUUGCUGUCCAAGUCUAUGAUGGGAACACAUUUGGUCUUGAGUCAUGAAAAGAUCUUUUAAAAAUACAUGAACACGAAAGACCUAUAUGUAUGUUUCACCAAUGAAAGAGAUUUUUGUUAUAAUAUUGUAUCCUCUUAAAAAAAUCCCAUGCUAGUUAUCACUAAAACACUAUAACUUAAAGCACUUGAUGCCUCUCUAGGCACGAUAAUAGACUGUUUAUACUUGAAUUGAUAGAUUCAAGAGUGCUAACUAUUGAAAAUAUCGAGACUUAGCGUUGUUCCAGCAGUGGCUUGCCAGGCUGUUUAGCUCUGCAGUCCGCUUUGUACUCUGCAGUAGUCUCUUACCCCUCUGGUUCUUGAGCAAUGCAAUAUUUGUUUGCAGUGCAUAGCUGUGAUUCCUUCUGUACAUUGCUGUUCACUGAGACUUUGAUGUUGUUCGAGUGUGUAUGUCUAGGGUUGUUCUGUCCUCCUUUCAAGAAGAGGUUUUUUUUUUUUUUUUUUUUUUUUUAAGCCUUAAAUUUAGCUGAACUAUCUGGAACUACAUUAAAAUAUUAAAACCUAAACAUUUUAAUGUCUGAAUGAAGCUGAAUAGGUUUAUCAUUUACACACACUUCAGAAUGCAGCACUCAGCACAAAGUCUUUGCUGCUUGCUAAGGCUUGUGUGUUGAGGGCUCUGAGGUUAGGCUCUGUUUUUUCCUCAGAAGCCACACUUUCUGUCCUUUGCUUCAUUAGCCAUUUCUCCAGGGAAGGUGCUGUGCUGCUGGGUGGGACCUGAAACACAUGGGCUGGCUACUCACAGACUUUAGCUGCUUUAUCUGUUCCUUUCUCUUGCUGCCGUACAACACCAUGACCAAACACAAGUAGUGACACGAGGGCUUAUUUUGCCUUAAUAUUCCAGAGCAGCCCAUAGUGGUGGGGAAUAUAUAGCAGCAGGCUGCUGGAGCAAAGAGCUGAGAUCCUCUUCCACUGCAGUCACAAAGCAAAGAAUGGGGCAAUGCUGCUCCAAACUCUCAAAGCCCACACCAGUUAUAUGCUGCCUCCAGCAAGGUGCCAUCUCUUAAAGGUUUCAUAACCUUGGAAACAGCACUACCACCCGGGGAACAGGUGCUCAAAUCUGUGCUCCUGUGGGGGCCAUUCCUCCUCUAAACCUCCACACCCAGUCACUAGGGGUCUAAAAAGCAGAGAGGGCGGAAUAUCUAAUGCUGCUUUGGCAGUUUGGUAAGGGUUUCUUGGAUAAAAACCAAGCCUGAUAGCCCUGAGUUUGAUCCCCAUCGCCCAUGUAGUUGAAGAAGAGAGCUAGUUCCUGUAAACUGUCCUCUGAUCUCCACAUAAGUGCCACGGUACCGCCCUCCCUUAAAUAAACAGACAGACGGAUGUGCGGAUAGAUGUCAAUAUUUUACUUAAAAACAUCCAGAUGGACAACCCAAGUUGUUGAUUUUGGGCAAGACUGUAAAAUCAGUUUGUGACAUAUAUAUCAGAAGUUCUUUUUGAGACUUCUGAGUAGAAUUUCUUAAGAAAUUUUGUUGCGAAAUCAGUGUAAUUGUAGGUAGUGAGGUUAGACUAAACCAGGCAAAGGCAAUGUAAGAUCCAAUUGAGUUUGUAUUUUUUCACCUUGUGAGUAGGAGACUACCUCUCCUUGCCUUUCUUUACAUCUGUAAAAAGAGGAGCUCUUACAGUACGUGCCUCAGGAGCCAGUGUUAUAUCAUAGAGUUAGCUAAUAAAGUUAAAACUCUUACAACACUGUCAGGGGGUGGGAGAUACAGCACAGAAGGUAAGAAUGUGUGUUGCUCUUGUAGAGAACCUCAGCUUCCACACAGUGGCUCAGCCAUCCUCAAGUUCAGUUGUGGGUCAUCCAGUGCCUUCUGACAUAAGUGGGCCUCAGUCACAUAUGUGGUACAUGCAGGCAGAACACUGACACAUAAAAUAAAUUAAUAAAUUUAAAGAAAAAAAACCCAGACUAUUGCAUGUUUAAGAGUGUCAGCCAUUGACACAGUGAGGCUAUUGCGUGUUUGAGAGUGUCAGACAUUUCUUUCAUCUGUGUCAUACUGAAACUUAGAUGAUUAAGGUGAACAAUAGAAAAUGAGCCAGAGAAGGAAUGAACGGUCAGUUAACCAGGAACCAUGCGAGCCACUGAACAUGGAACAACUUUGAUUGUAAAAGUAGUGGGAACUGUUAAAAAGAGGGUGUGUUCAUUGUUUCAUUUUGUCUCACCUGUGAAAAGUACUUUCCAAGUACUGGAUCCAUUUUCAGAUAGAUAUGUUGCUACCAGAGCAGUAAUGAGUUAAUUGUUAUAUAAAGAAAACAUUAAAACUUUGAUUUAAACACACACACACUACUGACUUGAGCAGAUAAAUGCAAAGCAGUCUAAUUCAGGUGGGGUUUCUGUGUUUUGAAACAAAAGCUAAGGUAAGUGAAGAAGAGAUAAAGAGCUGUUGUGGAGAUGGAUCAGGAGGAGAGAGGAGGAUAGUUAGGCUCCAUGGAACCCGAAAAGCCACUUGACUGCUGCUGUUUUCUGUCACUUGUCACUUUCUUAGUAUCCUUUAUCUCUUCCUUUUCAGAUCAGCUUUCUUUGACUAUACAUGCCUGCGGCUGACCAAAUGCAAGGGGUGGAUUCCUAGAUCUGUCCUAUCCAGCGGAGCCCCCAAAUACAGUUUAAAACCAAAAGAAGGGGCAGAUAGCUGGGCUGGUGGCAAAAGCAGGAGGGUCAGGAGGGCAGGACUAGCUGGGACUGUAUGAAACCCUUUGCUAGAGCAGAAAGGCAGUGCAGUGCGAAUAGGGGACACAAAGAAAAACUGCUUAGCACUGGAGACCUGUCUACUCAUAGAGUAAGUGCACAGCCACAUCUUACUGUGUCAGAAGCACCUGGGAAACGGGCUUCAAAGUUCUGCCGUCUAGGCCACAUGGCUUACCAAAAUGAAAAGUUAGGGUAGGAAGAAGCUUCCUGAUUUUGAAACUCAGUGAGCAGUAAGGGUUGGGUGCCACUUGCAGAACCAGUUUUCCUGACUCUGCUCCACUGAGUGUGUGUGUGUUUUGAUUUAUUGUACAGCAGUUACUUUACUUGGUGUGUAUCUGAGGAAGGAGGGGUCAUCCAAUGCUAGAACACAAGCAGCAGUGGCAGCAAUAAAACCCUGGCUCUGUUGGGUAAGGAGGAAAGUAUUCGUGCCUGUGUAUGGUUGAACAGGGUGCAAAGGGCACUUUAGAGGUUGUCAGAGCAGGACAGCUAAGAUUCCAGUGAGUAAAACAUCACGCGCUGAUCCUAGAUCCCUUCACUGGGAUGUUUCCCUUGUCUUUCUAGAUAGUUUACUACCUCUUAGUUACUGCUCUGCUGCUGGGACAAGAGGCCACGACCACUACAGCUUAUGUAAGAGUUUCUUUUGUAUGGCACCAGUGUUGAUGCUGUACGCAACAGUGAGGUCAUCAUGGUGGUGGGUCGUUGUUUGGCGGCUGGAGCACUAGGCAGAGAGCUCACAUCUUGAGCCUCAGACAUGCAUUAGAGUGAGAGAACUGACUCUCAUGCUCUCCUCUAGGGCCAGACUGCCUCUGACAAGGCCACACCUCCUACAUGUCCCACACAGCACUACUGACUGGAGACCAAGUGUUCAAAUAGACAAUCCUCUGGGGGAGCAUGCUCUUUCAAGCCGCUAGAACCUCUUAGUUCCCUAACUUCAAGAGAAGAAUCUAAUGGACUCAUGUGUUCUCACCAUGGUGAAGUAGGUAGAGAAUCAGGGCUGCUGUAGAUGGUAGAGGCUGUCUGUGCUCACUGCUGCUUUCCUAGAAAGUUAGUUCUGCAUACUUUAGAAAUAUGUUUCAUUUUCAGUAGAAUACAUUUAGUGCACCCAUAAGGUAAAGAUUAAUGCUAAAAGAACAUUUCUGUACUUAGCAUCAGUUAGGGGUUAUGGUGGUUUGGUAAAGUGUAGCUGCUGGUUCUUCUCCAAGGUCUAGAGUUUUACCAGCCUUGGGUAGGUGGCUACCUUUCCAAUACCAGUCAUGAGUUCUCUCUUGUGUAGUGAGCUUUAAGUCAAAUUAGAGAGCUGUUGGUUACCACCAAGGUGUGCUUGCCACUACAGCACCCUUAGGGUUAUCAUGCCAUGCAGGCCAAUUGCUGUGGUACAUAGGAGCUGUAGCUGGGUAGUAUUGUUGGUAGCUUCCCUCCUUUGGAAGCUGGCAUGGUACUUUCUGGUACCAUAAAAGCUAGUUCUCAGAGAGAAGGCUACCUACAACAAUUUAUAUGUUGAGAAAAACACACAUUCACAUUCUCAUAUUCUCAUCCUCUUCCCCCUUACCGCCACCCCCCUCUCAUGUUCUUACUACGUAGCCUGACUGGCCUGGAAUGCCUUAUAUGUGGAAAAAGUUGUUCUCAAGCAGAAAAGAGAUCUGCCUGCCUCUGCCUCGUGAGUGCUGGGUUCAAGGGUCAUGAUGUCUGGCUGCUGACCUACUUUUCCCAACUAGGCUACACCUCCUUAGGGUUCCAUACCCUCUCACAGUAGCAGUACCAGCUGGAACCAGGUAUUCCAAGCAUGAGUCUGUUGGAGGAUAGUAGAAACCCAAGCUGUACUGCUGAUGUGCUCUCAGGCAGGUAAUUAAUACUCAUCCUUGUACACUGGCUUCCAUAUCCUUUUCUUGGUGUUGGCUGACCUCUCCUUACAUCUUCAUUCAAAUCAAACGUUUCUGUCUCAGGCUCUUUCAAAACAUACAUUUAAAAAAAUCUAAAACCAUGCUUUAUUGCUUGAAAUGAUAUAUUUGUGUGUUUAAUUUAUUUUUCCUACUGCAUUACAGUUCAUCAGAGUAGGGUUUUUUUUUUUCCCCCCAAGUGUGUUCUAUGCAUCACAGUGUGUUCUCUGGCUUAGCAUUAGAGUGGCUACAUGAUUGACAACACACUCCUAUUGAAUAAAUGAACUAUGUAUUAACUACCUAAGAACUGCCAAGUUCUGUCCUGCAUGUGUGUAACACUGGGCAGCCUUCUCUCUUCUAAAAAGCCUUUGAGGAAAUGAGGGUAAGAGAGGUUCCUACACCACUUCCAUCUGUACAGGACUCUAAUGCUUAAGCCGUCUAUCUCAUUUAAUUACGAAAGUUUGAUGAAGUAGCAGUCUGGCUUAGAUUAAAAGGUCCUACUGUUAGGGUCACAUAUUUUGACUAGUCUCUAGCCGAGUUUGGUAAACCCUCAGUGGACACAGACAACUAAGUAGAUUAUAAGCAUUCUUUUAAAAAACAUAACAUAUUUUAUAUGUAAUAGGAUGUUCUGAAAAUUCUUUUUUACUGGUAACGACUAAUUAUGUUACUGUAAGUCUUGAGUUUAGGAAUACGUGACUGUUUGGUCUUUUUUUCUUGUUCUGGUUAGAGUAAGACAUUUGCUUGGAAUCUGAACCAGGUUUGGAAGACAGAUGUAUAUGGACACAUUAUCUUCCCAGAAAAUCUUGCAACUAUUUCUGUGACUACAUAUGUUAACAUUUUUAUAAUUGGCUUCCAAAUGGAAAACACAGAUGGCUGGUGUCUGAAUUUCCAGCAUGUUUUAGAAUAAAUGUUUUCUCAGUAAGUUAAAGUGUAUCACUUCAGUGUCAGGUGGUUACCCAAUUGAGUAGGUGUUUUUUUAUUUUUUUAUUUUUUUUAUCAACUUAACCAUUUUCAGGUUUAAAAUAAAAUAACUUAAGUAGCCAAAAAAUUGAAUAUGUAAGAUGAUCUUGUUUCUUUUGUUUUUUAAUUGAUUGAUUUUUACUUACUUACUUUAAAUCCCUCUCAGUCCUCCUCUCCUACCAUCCUUCCUCCCAUCUCCACCCCCUUCUCUGAGUAGGUGGGGACCCCCCAGGUGUACCCUCACCCUGCAAGUCAAGUCUCUGCCAGCCUAGGCGCAUGCUCCCCGACUGAGGCAGACGAGGCAGCCCAGCUAGAAGAACAUAUCCCACAUACAUGCAACAGCUUUGGGAUAUCUCCCACUCCAGGUAUUUGGGACCCACUAGAAAACCAAGCUGCACAUCUGCUAUUUAUGUUUGGGAGGCCCAGGUCCUGCCUUUAUGUGCUCUUUGGUUGGUGGUUCAGACUCGGAUAGCCAAAGGGGUCCCGGUUAGUUGACUCUGUUGGUCUUCCUGAGUUCCUAUCUCCUUCAGGGCACAGCAAUCCUUCCUCCUAUUCUCCCAUAAGAGUCCCCAAGCUCCAUCUCCCGUUUGGCUGUGGCUAUCUGCAUCUGUCCUGAAUCAGCUGCUGGGUGGAGCCUCUCAGAGGACAGCCAUGCUAGACUCCUGUCUGCAAGCAUAACAGAGUAUUAUUAAUAGUGUCAGAGAUUGGUGUUUGCCUAUGGAAUGGCUCUCAAGUUGGGUUGGUCAUUGGUUGGCUAUUCUCCCAGUCUCUGCUUCAUCCCCCGUUUCUGCAUUUCUUGUAGACAGGAUAAAUUUAAGGUCAAAAGUUUUGUGGGUAUAUUGGUGUCUCUCUUGCUCCAUUGGGGUUUCUGCCUUACUACAGGAGAUGGCCUCAGGAGGUUCCAUAUCCUCAAUGCUGUAAGUCACAGCUAAGGUCACCUCUACUGGUUCUUGGGUGCCUUACUUUAUCCCAGGUCUCUGUCUCAUUUUGGAGAUGUUCCCCACCUCCUCACCCCUGUCAAUUGUAAAAUUUUCAUUCAUUCUCAUCGCUAUAUGGCUACCUCUUCUGACCCUCCCCACGCCUGACCCUGAACUCCCCCUUCCUCUCUCCAUCCCCUCUCCCACCCAGUUCUCUCUCUUCAUCUGCCUCUUAUGACUAUUUCCCCUUUUAGUGAGACUCAGGCUUCCUCACUUGGGCCUUCCUUCUUGUUUAGCUUCCUUGGGUCUGUGGAGUGUAACAUGGCACUAGUACUUUAUGGCUGAUAUCCACUUAUGAGUGAGUACAUACCAUGCACGUUCAUCUCACUCAGGAUGAUAAUCUCAAGUUCCCCCCAUUUGCCUGCAGAAUUCAUGAUAUCUUUGUUUUUAAUAGCUGAAUAGUAUUCUAUUGUGUAGAUGUACCACAUUUUCUGUAUUCAUUCUUCAGCUGAGGGACAUCUAGGUUGUUUCCAGUUUCUAACUAUUAUGAAUAAGGCUGCUGUUGUAUGCUGGCCUGUGGUUUACAAGGACCGGGUACACCAGGGAGGCAGGCUGGGGCUGAAAGAGACUUAGAUGGCGAGAGGUUAAUGGAGCCAAGACAUGAUUCUGUUCAAGGCCCUCCAGUUUACUCCGGGAGUCUACUUAUAAAGGGGAAGGCCCAUCCCCCGCCAGUCCACUCUUGGUGUCUGGAGCCAGCCUGUAGGUGAUGUGCAGAAUAGGAUGUUCCUCCGGAAUGUCUCAGGGGCCUCUCAGCAGGUAGCAGUGUCUUGGAGAGAGCAGGUGGCAGAACAAAAGAGCCAUCUAGGCCAGAAGGCUCCUCGUUAGGGUAAUUUCCUUCUCAGGGGCAGCAAGGUCAAAGUCUGGAUCAGCCUACUUCAGGGCUGAGGGAGGCUACAGGCUGCUAUGAACAUAGUUAAGCAAGUGUCUUUGUGAGAUGUUGAAGCAUCUUUUGGGUUAUAUGCCCAGGAGUGGCAUGGCUGGGUCUUGAGGUAAAACUAUUCCCAGUUUUCUGAGAAACCACCAAAUUGAUUUCCAAAGUAGUUGUACAAGUUUGCACUCCCAGCAGCAGUGGAAGAGUCUUCCCCUUGCUCCACAUCCUCCUCAGCAUGUGCUAUUCCUGAGGCUUUGAUCUUAGCCAUUCUGAUAGGUGUAAUGUGGAACCUCACAGUUGUUUUGAUUUAUAUUUCUCUGAUGACUAAAGACUUUGAAUGUUCUUUAAUAGCUUCUUGGCCAUUUGAGAUUCUCUGUAGCUCUGGACCCCAUUUUUAAAUUGGGUUAUUUGGGUUGUUGGUGUUUAACUUCUUGAGUUCUUUAUAAAUUUUAGCUAUUAGCCCUCUGCCAGAUGUAGAGUUGGUGAAGAUCCCUUGGCUGUUGUAUUGUCCUAUUGACAGUGUCCUUUGUCUUACAGAAGCUUUGCAUUUUUAUGAGAUGUCCCAUUUAUCAAUUGUUGAUCUUAAAAGUCUGAGUCAUGUGUGUUCUGUUCAGGAAAUUGUCUCCUGUGCCAAUGCAUUCAUGGCUACUUUGUGCUUUCUCUUCUAUGAGAUUCAGUGUAUCUGGUUUUAUGUUGAGGUUUUUGAUCUAUUGGGACUUGAGUUUUUUGCAGGGUGAUGAAUAUAGAUUUGUUUGUAUUCUUCUACUUGUAGACAUCCAGUUGGACUGGUUAGUACACCACCCUUUGUAGAAGAUGCUUUCUUUUUCCAUUGAAUGGUUUUGGCUUCUUUAUCCAAAAUCAAGUGACCAUAGGUGUGUGGGUUUAUUUCUGGGGCUUUGAUUCUAUUUCUUGACCUGUCUGUUUCUAUAUCAAUAUCAUGCAGUUUUUAAUUACUAUUACUCUGUAGUACAACUUGAAGUCAAGGAUGGUGAUACCUCUUGAAGUUCUAUUAUUAUUCAGGAUUGUUUUGGCUAUCCUGGGUUUUUUUGUUUUUUCCUAUGAAGUUGAGAAUUGCUCUUUCGAGGUCUAUAAUUUUUUUAAUAAACACAAUUCUUGCUGGAAAACUGUUGCAUAUAUUAUUUUUUUCUCAGAAUUUGAAUUGUUUCCUUAAGAGAUUAUAGUUUAAAGGUAGUUUUAUGUUUUUCAUUAGCUUAAUGAGUACUUAGAAUAUUUAAUUCCAGUUCUGAACCCUGUAGAGUUGGAUGUGCUUUGUGUUGUGUCAUUUACGCCAUCAAGAGGUUAAAAUUAUUGCUUUACAGUGUCUUCCCUAAGUGACGUCUUCCCUCUUAUUCAACAUAUACUUAGUGCGCAGUGUUCUAGGUGUUGAACUGCAACAAAAGCCCUAGCUCUCAGGAGUCUUCUACGUAGGUAACCAGGAGAAAUUAUGACCCCACAGAAUCAAGUAAAACAGACCAAGAACAAUGUCUCUGUAAUUUUAUGCCUUUUUAGAAACAGCCCAUUCAAAUACAGUUGUAGAAUUGUUCUCUUUGUGCAUGUCCAUGUGUGUUUUCUCCAUUGGGUUUAGUAGUGCAUGAUGUUGUCUCUGCUUUUCAGUCAACCUUUCUAUAAUUUGGUGUUUAGUCUUUCAGUUCUCUGUGUAUUUACACAUCUGAGUAAAAACUAGAUAUAAGUGAUUUGUAUGCACUAAAGAAUUAACGUCAUACAGAUCUUUCACUUCCUUAGAGUCACACCUAGGUAUUUUAUAUUAUUUGUGGCUAUUGAGAAGGGUGGUGUUUCCCUAAUUUCUUUCUCAGCCUGUUUGUCCUUUGUGUAGAGAAAGGCCAUUGACUUGUUUGAGUUAAUUUUAUAUCCAGCUACUUCACUGAAGCUGUUUAUCAGGCUUAGGAGUUCUCUGGUGGAAUUUUUAGGGUCACGUAUAUAUACUAUCAUAUCAUCUGCAAAAAGUGAUAUUUUGACUUCUUCCUUUCCAAUUUGUAUCCCCUUGAUCUCCUUUUGUUGUGGAAUUGCUCUGGCUAGGACUUCAAGUACAAUGUUGAAUAGGUAGGGAGAGAGUGGACAGCCUUGUCUAGUCCCUUAUUUUAGUGGGAUUGCUUCCAGCUUCUCACCAUUUACUUUGAUGCUGGCUACUGGUUUGCUGUAGAUUGCUUUUAUCAUGUUUAGGUAUGGGCCUUGAAUUCCUGAUCUUUCCAAGACUUUUAUCAUGAAUGGGUGUUGGAUUUUGUCAAAUGCUUUCUCAGCAUCUAACGAGAUGAUCAUGUGGUUUUUGUCUUUGAGUUUGUUUAUAUACUGGAUUACGUUGAUGGAUUUCCGUAUAUUGAACCAUCCCUGCAUCCCUGGGAUGAAACCUACUUGGUCAGGAUGGAUGAUUGUUUUGAUGUGUUCUUGGAUUCGGUUAGCAAGAACUUUAUUGAGGAUUUUUGCAUCAAUAUUCAUAAGGGAUAUUGGUCUGAAGUUCUCUAUCUUUGUGGGGUCUUUUUGUGGUUUAGGUAUCAGAGUAAUUGUGGCUUCAUAGAAUGAGUUGGGUAGAGUACCUUCUGUUUCUAUUUUGUGGACUAGUUUGUGAAGAACUGGGAUUAGAUCUUCUUUGAAGGUCUGAUAGAACUCUGCACUAAACCCAUCUGGUCCUGGGCUUUUUUUGGUUGGGAGACUAUUAAUGACUGCUUCUAUUUCUUUGGGGGAUAUCGGGCUGUUUAGAUCAUUAACCUGAUCUUGAUUCAACUUUGGUACCUGGUAUCUGUCUAGAAACUUCUCCAUUUCAUCCAGGUUCUCCAAUUUUGUUGAGUAUAGCCUUUUGUAGAAGGAUCUGAUGGUGUUUUGGAUUUCUUCAGGAUCUGUUGUUAUGUCUCCCUUUUCAUUUCUGAUUUUGUUAAUUAGAAUGCUUUCCCUGUGCCCUCUAGUGAGUCUGGCUAAGGGUUUGUCUAUCUUGUUGAUUUUCUCAAAGAACCAGCUCCUCGAUUGGUUGAUUCUCUGAAUAGUUCUUCAAAAAAAAAAAAAAAGAAUUAACGUUUGAAACAAAAAGAUAUUAUAGCAGCUUCUGAGGUGUGCUCUUAGGAAUUCCAUUCUCAAUAUUUUUGGCAUUGCACCCUCCUUGAGGGAUCCUUUCUUUCUAAAUGAUGAGCCUGGCAUUCGGAUUCUAUAUAUGGGUGGCAUUUUAAUAAUAAUCCAGUCAGUUUAUUUUUAAGAAUAGAUCUAUCCUACAAAGUACUUUAAAUGUAUUUCAGCAGCUUCAUAAUGUACAAAGAGGCAGCUGACCCUGCACCUGCUCUCCAGACAGGCGUGAAUCAGAAUGGCUGAAGGCUUAGGAAAGCCCUGACUGUGGUCUGUCUGAAGGCUGAAGACUUAGGAAAGCCCUGACUGUGGUCUGUCUUUAUAUUGUACAGCAUUAGCAGCUGUUAUGUGUGAUUGCUGAAUUAAUUUCUUCAAAAAAUAGGGCAUCCCUAUGUAUAUUAUUUUGUAGUUGAUAAAGUUUUAAAAUACUAUAUUUAUUCAUAGUCUGUCACAUAUUUUGAUAAAUAAUAUUAACAUCAUUAGUAAUACUGCCUUAGCAUUAUUAUAUAAUAACUUAUAAGCUAUCUUUUUAGUUAAUGUUAUAAAUAUAGUCAUAUUAUUAGUAUAAUCCUUUUUUCAAAGGCUCUAGGUCUUAUUUUUGUUUAUUCCUAGAAUGAUUAAAGAGCUCAAAUUUAAGAAGUAUUGGUUAGUAUCUUUUUCACAGGAAAGAAAUUUUAUUUAAAAGAAAGAAAAGAAAACUUAGUCUGGGAGACAGCUCUGGAUGCAAAGUGCUUGCUUAUGCAAGCAAAGUGUGGGUAAAAGCCAGAUAUGGUGGUGAGAGGCUAUAAUUUCAGCACAGUGGGGUAUGGUGGGGACAUAGGUAGAGACAGAAGGAUGCUGGGAACUUGCUGGCCAGUCUACCGCAGUCAAUACUAUGAGUGCAGAGUGUUAGGGGAUGGUACCUGAAGUCAGCCUCUGUCCCCAUGUGCACAUACUCAGGCAAGCACAUUCGCAUGCACGCGCAUGCGCACGCGCACACACACACACAUACACACACACACACACACACACACAUACGCUACUCACAAGUACACUUAAAGAGAAAUUAAAUUUAGGGAAAAACACUUGUAGUUUAAGUUGUGAAUACACCAAUGUUGAUGUACAUUUUUGUUUUUCAAAAUUUACCUAUUACUGUGAGUAUAGUGUUACUAAACUUCAAACUAGAUAUGAUUGUUCAUGGUUAAAGCUGGAGGCCUGCUUUGUCUCUAGUAAGGAGAGUUGUAGAUGGCUUUCUUUUUAUAAUAACUAUACUGAUACUGUUUUAUAUCCACUACUCUGUGAUGAGUAUUGCCAUUAGCAGUAAUGGCUUGAAUUAAUAUUUUUAAUAAGCACUCACCAGAGUUCAGUCAGCAUUGUGUAGUAUGUGGAAUGAUAAUUCUGACUAGAUGACGAUAUCUUAUGUAUUUCCUAGCCUGGUGUUGAACACAUUGAAUAAUAAUAAAGAAAACGUAUACCUUCCACCCUUUCCUUUUUCCCAUGAUAGAUGGAAGUGUUUGCUGAAUUUCAUGUCUUAGUGCACAUCCACUUCUCUUAGGACUUUCAGCAGUGUCUGAAUAUUUUAAUGUUAGAUACAUCCUUGUUUUAAUUUUUGUUGACUACUUAAAAAAAAA